rnacentral:tRNA from 1 species
AGCAGUUUAAUGAAGGCUUAUGGCGCGGACUUUUAAUCCGUUGGUCGCGAGUUCGAAUCUCGCAGGACCCACCA